GGGUAGUUGUUUUCGGUUUUUGUGUCUGCACCAGACAGAACUGUUUCGGUGCCGUUGGUUCUCUUUGUUGGUUUGUUAAUCAGUGUUCAGUUCCAUGAAUAAAAGCAUGAACAUGUACCAUGCGGCACCUUGGUCCUCUCCUUCCAACGGCCGUUACAACGAGUGAAUAGAGUAGUCUUCAUUUCCUCUGGCAUACAGCCAUCAAUACUCUCUCCCAGACUGGAAUACUGGUACGAGACAGCCAUCAAUACACUCUCCCAGACUGGACUACUGGUACGAGACAGCCAUCAAUACUCUCUCCCAGACUGGAAUACUGGUACGAGACAGCCAUCAAUACUCUCUCCCAGACUGGACUACUGGUACGAGACAGCCAUCAAUACUCUCUCCCAGACUGGACUACUGGUACGAGACAGCCAUCAAUACUCUCUCCCAGACUGGACUACUGGUACGAGACAGCCAUCAAUACUCUCUCCCAGACUGGACUACUGGUACGAGACAGCCAUCAAUACUCUCUCCCAGACUGGACUACUGGUACAGGACAGCCAUCAAUACUCUCUCCCAGACUGGAAUACUGGUACGAGACAGCCAUCAAUACUGGUACGAGACAGCCAUCAAUACUCUCUCCCAGACUGGACUACUGGUACAGGACAGCCAUCAAUACUCUCUCCCAGACUGGACUACUGGUACGAGACAGCCAUCAAUACUCUCUCCCAGACUGGAAUACUGGUAUGUCUAAUAGUUGGAGGUGUGGCCCCAGACUGGACUACUGGUAUGUCUAAUAGUUGGAGGUGUGGUCCCAGAGAGGACUACUGGUAUGUCUAAUAGUUGGAGACGUGGUCCCAGAGGAGGGGAACGGUGUACAGAUGGACUGUUAUGUCACAGUACGGGUUGACGCACACAAAUAUCAUUGUGCACAUACAUACGCAUGUGUCCACACACACAGAGUCUUUGUUAAUUAGUUUGUUCCUAAUUUCACAGCCUAAACAGGCCCUGUGUGUGACUCACAGCAUAUUGUUACAUAAAUAAUACCUCUUAGUCUCUCUCUCUGACUGACGGUUGUGUUGUGAUAUAAAGUUCCUCCACCUGUCGUGGAACUCGGAAGAAAGACUUUAACCAGACCCACAGGAUUUUGUUGAGACUCAAUGUGAAUUUUGAGCAUUGCUUCUGUAGGUCUGGUCAGCCACAUCACAGCAAUACAGUUUGUGUAAGUUAAGUCUGUAACAGUAUGGUGUGUGUCAUGAUACAGUCCCGGUCUAUGAGGUCUGAAGGACAGUUGAAAGACACACUUUAAGCCCUCUGACUCUCUUUGUAUUCAGUGGUAGACCUCCACGAGUCCGUUAAUAAUUGUCCAUUGUUAAGGUGCUUUACAGGAUUUGGGCUGUUUUUGCUGACAGGGUUUUGUGGAGCUUCGUCAGCCAGUGAGAGUAGAGUGGUGCAUUCCUGCAUUCCUUCCACAAGGGGGCGACAUCAGUGACAGACGUAUAGACGAUGCAUGUUUGGUAGAGUAGGUUCACAGACAUUGUGUGUCACACAAAGACAGACGCACACACGAUACCUCUGUCCUUUUUUCAACGGUAAACAAUGUAUCAGUAUUUCUGUAUCCUAAGAAAUCACUUCAGCAUGUUUGGGUUUUCUGCAUAUAUUUCUGAGUGAAUAAUAAGGAAUUGGCUAAAUUGGCAUUCCUGACCUGCAAAACGAUAUUUAAUUUCAAAAUUGGUCAAAAUUAGGUUAAGUUUAUGGUAUGGGUUAGGAUUAGGUUCAAGGGUUUGGUUAAAGUUAGGGUUAGUCGAUUUACAGGUCAGAGGUGUCCUUAUAACCUCUCCAGAAUGAUAUGUCUUGUCUGUUUCUACCUCUCUCUGCUGUCCAAGUCACCUGAUUUCCUGUCUUCCUGUCUUUUCUUGUGUUCCUGUCUUCCUGUCUUUGUGUCUAACCGUAUUCCUGUCUUCCUGUCUUUGUGUCUGUCUUCCUGUCUUUGUGUCUUUGUCUUCCUGUGCCUUCCUGUCUUUGUGUCGAACUGUCUUCAUGUCUUCCUGUGUCUUCCGGCUUUCCUGUCUUCCUGCGCAGUAUGUACCUCACAAGAGUGUAAUCUGCUCUGCCCCGAGUGGGGCUUGAACUCACAACCUUCUCCACAAAAGCACAAGCAACUCAAAGCCAACCGUAUGUCACUAAACACACCGUAUCUUGGCAGAGGAAGAUGUCGGUGUGGAAGCAGCCGGCCCGGCUGUAUCUGUGGGCAGCACAUGUCAUGUAGGGGGAAUCCACCACACCAGAGUCUGUUGUCUCAGUGUUGUCAGCCUGUCACCAUGAAUUAUAAGUGAUUCCAGAUUGUGAUGCAACACAGAGACACAGAGCUGUAGUAGUAAGGGUCUGGUUCUCAUUAUAACAGAUAGGGAAACAACAAGGCUGGCCAACCAUCUACUCUGAGUGCUUUUGUUCCAGCCCUACACUCCUCUCACUCCCCCUUCAGUCCCCCUCUCUGUCCCUUCUCAGUCCCCUCUUACUCCCCCUUCAGUCCCCCUCUCAGUCCCAUUCAGUCCCCUCUCUGUCCCCUCUCUGUCCCCUCUCUGUCCCCUCUCUGUCCCCUCUCUGUCCCCUCUCUGUCCCCUUCAUCCCCUUUCAGUCUCCUCUCUGUCCCCUUCUCAGUCCCCUUUCAGUCUCCUCUCUGACCCUUCUCAGUCCCCUUUUACUCCCCCUUCAGUCCCCUCUCUGUCCCCCCUCUGCUCUCUCCUGACUGGGCAGCCUGCCUCACAGAGACCCAUUCACCCUGUAGACCACGGGAGCCUCCUCUCCUCACACACUGGAGUCAAUGAAAGACCUGCUGCCCCCUUCCACCUUCCUCUCUAACUCUAUCCCUCCCUUCCUCUUUUCCUUACCUCCAAGUUGUCAUAGAUACAUACCCCACCCUUACCUCCUUCCCUACCUUAAAGUGCUCAAACGUACCUCAUCCCACCCUUACCCCUCCCUCCACCUAUACCUCCUAGUUCUCAUACCUACAUACCCCACCCUCCCUCCCUCCACCUAUACCUCCUAGUUCUCAUACCUACAUACCCCACCCUCCCUCCCUCUAUACCUCCUAGUUCUCAUACCUACAUACCCCACCCUUACCCCUCCCUCCCUCCCUCCACCUAUACCUCCUAGUUCUCAUACCUACAUCCCUCCCUCGCUUCCCUCUCCCCUCCCUUCCCUACGUCCUGUAUUCAGUCUUCAUACCCGACCCCAAACUUACCCCCCGGCCGCCUUACCUCCCACCCUUCCUCCUUCCACCUCCCUAACACCCACCACUCCCUCUUUUCCCCACUACCCUGCCAUCUCACUGCAUUCCUCACUAGGUCAUACAGCGCUCCAUUGUGUGAGCGGGGCAGCGGGAUGGAGAGCACACAGUCAGAGCACUCACACACCAAACCCAGGAUUACCACUGGAAUCAACUUAAGAUUCCUCAAAUGGAAGCAAGCAGGUCUUCUUUUACCUCUCCUCCCAUCCUCUUUCCCUCCCUCCCUCCUCGCAUCCUCUUUCCCUCCCUCCCUCCCACCCUUCCUCCCACCCUCUCUCCUUCCUAUCCUCUCUCCCCGCCUCCCUCCCUCCCUCCCUCCCAUCCAACCACCCUCUGUCUCCCUCCCUUCCUGCCUCCCUCUGUCCCUAUCUCCCUACUAUCCUCCCUCUGCCUCCCUACCUCCCUCCUAUCCUCUCUCCCUCC
ensembl:lncRNA